rnacentral:piRNA from 2 species
UCCUGACAGAAGAAGAGUAUCGGAUACAAGG